rnacentral:lncRNA from 1 species
UGGCCCCCCGCUUCGCGCUCCCGCAGCCGCGGCCCCCCGCGCUCCGCCCGCAUCCGAGGCGCUGGUCCCGCAGAGGGCGCCAACGCGGCUCCACCUUUGCGGCUCUGGCUGCCCAGAAAGAAGCUUUCCUUCUCGGUCCCGCGCUGUCUGUGUUCAGGGAUCCCCGGCGCCGCGAGAGACUACCUCAGCGAGCGGCUGCCACCGCGUAAGCUUCCUGCGCCUGGGCCACAAACAGUUUAAAAACAUUUCUGACAUAAGAGAAGGAAACCAUGAUGGAUAAAAGGCUAGCAUUUAUAAAGCUCUUAGACUGCACAGUAUAAUACCCAAUAAAUGUUGGCUAUUACUACUAUUACUGAACAACCACAAACUGAGGCCUGAUCUAGAGGAAUAAAAAAUACCUCAUCUUUAAAAUAGACACAGCAAUACCUA